CAUAGCCUUAUGUAAAUAUAAGGUGGUUUCUGCUCAAUGAUUUAAAUAGCCGCAGUACCCUGACUGUGCAAAGGUAGCAUAAUAAAUUGUCCUUUAAUUGAGGUCAUGGAUGAAGGAAAAAUGGGGAAUCUGUCUUCUUCAUAUUUUUUAAAUUUACUUAUUAGGUGCAAAUUCCUAUAUGAAUUGAAAGACAAGAAGACCCUAAGAGUUUUUUAUAAUUUUGUUGGGGCAACAUAUUAACAUAAAACUUAAUUUUUAGCGAUAUAUAACAGUAAUAAGAAAACUACCUUAGGGAUAACAGCAUAAAUUAAGAUUGUGACCUCGAUGUUGGAUUAGGUAAUUUAAAUCAAAAAUGUAAAAAGUUCUGUUCGAACCCUACGUGAUCU
rnacentral:rRNA from 1 species